UACGGAGGGGGCGAGCGUUAUCCGGAAUUAUUGGGCGUAAAGCGUGCGCAGGCGGCCCGUUAAGACAGGUGUGAAAUCCCUGGGCUCAACCUAGGAAUUGCGCUUGUGACUGGCGGGCUCGAGUACGGUAGAGGGGGGUGGAAUUCCUGGUGUAGCAGUGAAAUGCGUAGAGAUCAGGAGGAACACCGAUGGCGAAGGCAGCCCCCUGGGCCUGUACUGACGCUCAUGCACGAAAGCGUGGGGAGCAAACAGG
rnacentral:rRNA from 1 species